UACGAAGGGGGCUAGCGUUGCUCGGAAUUACUGGGCGUAAAGGGCGCGUAGGCGGAUAGUUUUAGUCAGAGGUGAAAGCCCAGGGCUCAACCUUGGAACUGCAUUUGUGACUGCAUAGCUAGAGUACGGUAGAGGGGGGAUGGAAUUCCGCGUGUAGCAGUGAAAUGCGUAGAUAUGCGGAGGAACACCGAUGGCGAAGGCAAUCCCCUGGACCUGUACUGACGCUCAUGCACGAAAGCGUGGGGAGCAAACGAGG
rnacentral:rRNA from 1 species